GACGAACGCUGGCGGCGUGCUUAACACAUGCAAGUCGAACGGUAAGGCCCUUUCGGGGGUACCCGCGUGGCGAACGGGUGAGUAACACGGGAGUAACCUGCCCCCAACUUUUGGAUAACGCUAGGAAACUGGAGCUAAUACAGAAUAUAUGGUCCUUCUGCAUGGAGGGGGUUGGAAAGCUCCGGCGGGUGUGGAUGGACUCGCGGCCUCUUAGCUUGUUGGUGGGGGAGUGGCCUACCGAGGCGGCGACGGGUAGCCGGACCGAGCGGGUGACCGGCCACAGUGGGACUGAGAUUCGGCCCCGACUCCUACGGGUGGCAGCAGUGGGGAAUAGUGCUCAAGGGGCGCGAGCCUGAUGCAGCAACGCCGCGGGCGGGAUGACGGCCUUCGGGUUGGAAACCGCUUUCAGCAUGGACGAAGCUUUUUGUGACGGUACCUGCAGAAGAAGCACCGGCUAACUACGUG
rnacentral:rRNA from 1 species